rnacentral:rRNA from 1 species
AUUGAACGCUGGCGGCAGGCCUAACACAUGCAAGUCGAGCGGAUGAAGGGAGCUUGCUCCUGGAUUCAGCGGCGGACGGGUGAGUAAUGCCUAGGAAUCUGCCUGGUAGUGGGGGAUAACGUCCGGAAACGGGCGCUAAUACCGCAUACGUCCUGAGGGGGAAAGUGGGGGAUCUUCGGACCUCACGCUAUCAGAUGAGCCUAGGUCGGAUUAGCUAGUUGGUGGGGUAAAGGCCUACCAAGGCGACGAUCCGUAACUGGUCUGAGAGGAUGAUCAGUCACACUGGAACUGAGACACGGUCCAGACUCCUACGGGAGGCAGCAGUGGGGAAUAUUGGACAAUGGGCGAAAGCCUGAUCCAGCCAUGCCGCGUGUGUGAAGAAGGUCUUCGGAUUAUAAAGCACUUUAAGUUGGGAGGAAGGGCAGUAAGUUAAUACCUUGCUGUUUUGACGUUACCAACAGAAUAAGCACCGGCUAACUUCGUG